AGUAAAAUGGCUGAUAAAAGUGAUAAAUUGUAAAUUUAUUAAUAAGAAUAAAUUCUUUUUUACUA
rnacentral:tRNA from 1 species